GUGUAACGGGGAGAGAGAGAGAGAUAUAAACCGUGUAACGGGGGAGAGAGAGAUAAAAUAUAUAUAUAUAUAUAUAUAUAUAUAUAUAUAUAUAUAUAUAUAUAUAUAUAUAUAUAAUCUCUCUCUAUCCCCGUUACACGGUUUAUAUAUCUCUCUAUAUCACC